rnacentral:rRNA from 1 species
UGCUAAUCUGCGAUAAGCGUCGGUAAGGUGAUAUGAACCGUUAUAACCGGCGAUUUCCGAAUGGGGAAACCCAGUGUGUUUCGACACACUAUCAUUAACUGAAUCCAUAGGUUAAUGAGGCGAACCGGGGGAACUGAAACAUCUAAGUACCCCGAGGAAAAGAAAUCAACCGAGAUUCCCCCAGUAGCGGCGAGCGAACGGGGAGCAGCCCAGAGCCUGAAUCAGUGUGUGUGUUAGUGGAAGCGUCUGGAAAGGCGCGCGAUACAGGGUGACAGCCCCGUACACAAAAAUGCACAUACUGUGAGCUCGAUGAGUAGGGCGGGACACGUGGUAUCCUGUCUGAAUAUGGGGGGACCAUCCUCCAAGGCUAAAUACUCCUGACUGACCGAUAGUGAACCAGUACCGUGAGGGAAAGGCGAAAAGAACCCCGGCGAGGGGAGUGAAAAAGAACCUGAAACCGUGUACGUACAAGCAGUGGGAGCACGCUUCGGCGUGUGACUGCGUACCUUUUGUAUAAUGGGUCAGCGACUUAUAUUCUGUAGCAAGGUUAACCGAAUAGGGGAGCCGAAGGGAAACCGAGUCUUAACUGGGCGUUAAGUUGCAGGGUAUAGACCCGAAACCCGGUGAUCUAGCCAUGGGCAGGUUGAAGGUUGGGUAACACUAACUGGAGGACCGAACCGACUAAUGUUGAAAAAUUAGCGGAUGACUUGUGGCUGGGGGUGAAAGGCCAAUCAAACCGGGAGAUAGCUGGUUCUCCCCGAAAGCUAUUUAGGUAGCGCCUCGUGAAUUCAUCUCCGGGGGUAGAGCACUGUUUCGGCAAGGGGGUCAUCCCGACUUACCAACCCGAUGCAAACUGCGAAUACCGGAGAAUGUUAUCACGGGAGACACACGGCGGGUGCUAACGUCCGUCGUGAAGAGGGAAACAACCCAGACCGCCAGCUAAGGUCCCAAAGUCAUGGUUAAGUGGGAAACGAUGUGGGAAGGCCCAGACAGCCAGGAUGUUGGCUUAGAAGCAGCCAUCAUUUAAAGAAAGCGUAAUAGCUCACUGGUCGAGUCGGCCUGCGCGGAAGAUGUAACGGGGCUAAACCAUGCACCGAAGCUGCGGCAGCGACACUAUGUGUUGUUGGGUAGGGGAGCGUUCUGUAAGCCUGUGAAGGUGUGCUGUGAGGCAUGCUGGAGGUAUCAGAAGUGCGAAUGCUGACAUAAGUAACGAUAAAGCGGGUGAAAAGCCCGCUCGCCGGAAGACCAAGGGUUCCUGUCCAACGUUAAUCGGGGCAGGGUGAGUCGACCCCUAAGGCGAGGCCGAAAGGCGUAGUCGAUGGGAAACAGGUUAAUAUUCCUGUACUUGGUGUUACUGCGAAGGGGGGACGGAGAAGGCUAUGUUGGCCGGGCGACGGUUGUCCCGGUUUAAGCGUGUAGGCUGGUUUUCCAGGCAAAUCCGGAAAAUCAAGGCUGAGGCGUGAUGACGAGGCACUACGGUGCUGAAGCAACAAAUGCCCUGCUUCCAGGAAAAGCCUCUAAGCAUCAGGUAACAUUAAAUCGUACCCCAAACCGACACAGGUGGUCAGGUAGAGAAUACCAAGGCGCUUGAGAGAACUCGGGUGAAGGAACUAGGCAAAAUGGUGCCGUAACUUCGGGAGAAGGCACGCUGAUAUGUAGGUGAAGUCCCUCGCGGAUGGAGCUGAAAUCAGUCGAAGAUACCAGCUGGCUGCAACUGUUUAUUAAAAACACAGCACUGUGCAAACACGAAAGUGGACGUAUACGGUGUGACGCCUGCCCGGUGCCGGAAGGUUAAUUGAUGGGGUUAGCGGUAACGCGAAGCUCUUGAUCGAAGCCCCGGUAAACGGCGGCCGUAACUAUAACGGUCCUAAGGUAGCGAAAUUCCUUGUCGGGUAAGUUCCGACCUGCACGAAUGGCGUAAUGAUGGCCAGGCUGUCUCCACCCGAGACUCAGUGAAAUUGAACUCGCUGUGAAGAUGCAGUGUACCCGCGGCAAGACGGAAAGACCCCGUGAACCUUUACUAUAGCUUGACACUGAACAUUGAGCCUUGAUGUGUAGGAUAGGUGGGAGGCUUUGAAGUGUGGACGCCAGUCUGCAUGGAGCCGACCUUGAAAUACCACCCUUUAAUGUUUGAUGUUCUAACGUUGACCCGUAAUCCGGGUUGCGGACAGUGUCUGGUGGGUAGUUUGACUGGGGCGGUCUCCUCCUAAAGAGUAACGGAGGAGCACGAAGGUUGGCUAAUCCUGGUCGGACAUCAGGAGGUUAGUGCAAUGGCAUAAGCCAGCUUGACUGCGAGCGUGACGGCGCGAGCAGGUGCGAAAGCAGGUCAUAGUGAUCCGGUGGUUCUGAAUGGAAGGGCCAUCGCUCAACGGAUAAAAGGUACUCCGGGGAUAACAGGCUGAUACCGCCCAAGAGUUCAUAUCGACGGCGGUGUUUGGCACCUCGAUGUCGGCUCAUCACAUCCUGGGGCUGAAGUAGGUCCCAAGGGUAUGGCUGUUCGCCAUUUAAAGUGGUACGCGAGCUGGGUUUAGAACGUCGUGAGACAGUUCGGUCCCUAUCUGCCGUGGGCGCUGGAGAACUGAGGGGGGCUGCUCCUAGUACGAGAGGACCGGAGUGGACGCAUCACUGGUGUUCGGGUUGUCAUGCCAAUGGCACUGCCCGGUAGCUAAAUGCGGAAGAGAUAAGUGCUGAAAGCAUCUAAGCACGAAACUUGCC